AAUAGGCGUGAGAGCACAAGCCCUUGGUGCCGUCCGCCAAGGAUGGCUUGGCUCUGCUGUAAGAAGGCGGAGGAAUAAAGAGAGGGCAAGUCUGGUGUCAGCCGCCGCGGUAAUACCAGCUCUCCGAGUGGUAUGGAUGAUUAUUGGGCCUAAAGCGUUCGUAUCCGGCCUUCCAAGUCUUUCGUUAAAUCCAGCGAUUCAAUCGUUGGACUGCGGGAGAUACUGUUAGGCUAGGGGGCGGGAGAAGCCGACGGUAUUUCUGGGGUAGGGGUAAAAUCCUAUAAUCCCAGGAGGACCACCAGUGGCGUAGGCGGUCGGCUAGCACGCGCUCGACGGUGAGGGACGAAAGCUGGGGGAGCAAACCGGAUUAGAUACCCGGGUAGUCCCAGCUGUAAACGAUGCGGGCUAGGUGUUGGAGCGGCUACGAGCCGCUUCAGUGCCGCAGGGAAGCCAUUAAGCCCGCCGCCUGGGGAGUACGGCCGCAAGGCUGAAACUUAAAGGAAUGGCG
rnacentral:rRNA from 1 species